rnacentral:rRNA from 1 species
CAAUAGCGUAUAUUAAAGUUGUUGCGGUUAAAAAGCUCGUAGUUGGAUUUCUGUUGGGAACGACCGGUCCGCCCAUUGGGUGUGUAUCUGGCUUGUUCUCGGCAUCUUCUUGGUGAACGUUGCUGCACUUGACUGUGUGGAGCGCUACCCAGGACUUUUACUUUGAGGAAAUUAGAGUGUUUCAAGCAGGCAUAUGCCUUGAAUACAUUAGCAUGGAAUAAUAAGAUAGGACCUCGGUUCUAUUUUGUUGGUUUCUAGAGCUGAGGUAAUGAUUAAUAGGGAUAGUUGGGGGCAUUCGUAUUUAACUGUCAGAGGUGAAAUGCUUGGAUUUGUUAAAGACGGACUACUGCGAAAGCAUUUGCCAAGGAUGUUUUCAUUGA